UACGUAGGCAGCGAGCGUUGUUCGGAGUUACUGGGCGUAAAGCGUGCGUAGGCGGUGUCUUAAGUUUGUUUGUGAAAUCUCCCGGCUUAACCGGGAGGGUGCGGCGAAUACUGAGAUGCUGGAGUGCGGGAGAGGUAAGCGGAAUUCCCGGUGUAGCGGUGAAAUGCGUAGAUAUCGGGGAGGAACACCUGAGAUGUAGAUGGCUUACUGGACCGUAACUGACGCUGAGGCACGAAAGCGUGGGUAGCAAACAGG
rnacentral:rRNA from 1 species